GUAAGCAGCUGACACAUGCCCGGUGGAAGCUGUCAUCUCUCUCCUUGUGGGUUCAGAGCUGCAAGAAGCACCAGGCUCGGCCACUUCAGAAGCCCCAGCCUCGACCUAGCCCACCCUCUCAAGGCCACAGUGCAGAAGCCUGCACCACCUGCCAAGUCUCUCCGGCUCCUUGCAGCUGCUGUCAGCAUGGCCCAGGCUCCUGCUGACCCGGACAGAGAAGCCGAGAGGCCCCAGCAAUAUGCAGCUAGAAUUCCAGAGACCCCUGGCCCUCAGUUCAGCCAACAACGGGAUGAGAAAACCAGGCCUCGAGGGGCCGGGUCCAGGGCCACACAGCUAGGAAGCGGUGGGGCAGAUGCAAACCCUAGGACUCCUCCCUAACCACCUGGCCAUCCUGCCUCCCAGAGGAAGACAUCUACAGGUUUCUCAAAGACAAUGGUCCCCAGAGGGCCCUGGUCAUCGCCCAGGCACUGGGAAUGAGGACAGCAAAAGAUGUGAACCGAGACCUGUACAGGAUGAAGAGCAGGCACCUUCUGGAUGUGGAUGAGCAGUCCAAAGCAUG
rnacentral:sRNA from 1 species